rnacentral:rRNA from 1 species
AUUGAACGCUGGCGGCAUGCCUUACACAUGCAAGUCGAACGGUAACAGGUCUUCGGAUGCUGACGAGUGGCGAACGGGUGAGUAAUGCAUCGGAACGUGCCCAGUAGUGGGGGAUAGCCCGGCGAAAGCCGGAUUAAUACCGCAUACGACCUGAGGGUGAAAGGGGGGGGUCGCAAGACCUCUCGCUAUUGGAGCGGCCGAUGUCAGAUUAGCUAGUUGGUGGGGUAAAGGCCUACCAAGGCAACGAUCUGUAGUUGGUCUGAGAGGACGACCAGCCACACUGGGACUGAGACACGGCCCAGACUCCUACGGGAGGCAGCAGUGGGGAAUUUUGGACAAUGGGCGCAAGCCUGAUCCAGCAAUGCCGCGUGCAGGAAGAAGGCCUUCGGGUUGUAAACUGCUUUUGUCAGGGAAGAAAUCUUCUGGGUUAAUACCUCGGGAGGAUGACGGUACCUGAAGAAUAAGCACCGGCUAACUACGUGCCAGCCGCCGCAGUAAAAC